rnacentral:rRNA from 1 species
GACAGAAGGUGCAAGCGUUACUCGGAAUUACUGGGCGUAAAGCGUCCGCAGCCGUCUAGGCAAGUCUGAUGUAAAAUCGCAGAGCUCAACUCUGCGUUCGUAUCGGAUACUAUCUAGAUUGAGUUAUGGAAAGGCAUCUGGAAUGUCAUGUGUAGGGGUAAAAUCCGUUGAUCCAUGAUGGAACGCCAAAAGCGAAAGCAGGAUGCUAGUCAUAUACUGACGGUCAGGGACGAAAGCGUGGGGAGCAAAGGGG